UACUUUUUCAAUAUUAUUCAGGUUCUAAUGUGCACUGAAUAUUUCACACAGGGUGCUCUCCUCAACAAAGUUCUGAAGGAGACAAAGCCACCAGCGUAUCCCUGCACUCAGCAUCUCAGAUCCGCUCCUCCACUGUCCCAUCAGUCAAUGCGGCAGUAUUUCCAGCCAGAGGCACAGCAUCAGUCAAUCCCUGAGAUAGAACAAUGGAGUCAAGAUGAACACCAGUCACAACAUCAACAAACACACAGUCAGACACAACAACACCAUAUUCACAAACACAGUCGGCCCCUGCAGCAUCAUUCACAACCACACUCUAAAUAUCAUCAGCAAUUACUGUAUCAUUGCCAGACUCACCAACCACACAUCUCGCUGCAAGCGCUUACCCAACAGCAGCAACAACAGCAUCAACUGUACACACAGUUCCAGCCUCAUCAGAUACCCGAGGAGCAGUACCAGUGUCCGGACCAGUGGCAGAUGCCAUGCCAAGAGGGCCAGUACCAAAAUCAACAGCUACAUCAACCUAUAACUUUCACCUCUCCAGGUCAAGAGAAAAACUGGAAACAUAUAACAGGCCCACAUGGCUUGCAACAUGCUCAAAUGAAACGUAGACACUCUAUGCAGACUACAGAAGAACCAAAACCACUAUCUAAGGUUGCUAUCCAUGAGAGUCAAGGAAAGGGACUGAAGGUCCCUCAUUAUAGGGAAAGUGAAGUAACUGUAGAAAAUCCAGGUUUACAGGAUAAAGGUUUUGAACUAAACAAGGAAUCAUAUGUUGGCUUACAUCUUACCCCUAGUCAGGCAAAGGCCCUUUCCCAGCAGCUUGGAGUGCUUCAGAAAGAGCCUCUAGGUGGCAGUAGAGUGUCAGAUCUUAACUGUGAAGCUGCAGAAAGCGAGGAGCCGCUGCUACAGAGUCAAAGCUACAGUGCUGGAGAGACACAAAAUGUGUUCAACAUCAACUUAUCUGACCCAUCAUCCUGGCUGGACCAGGACAUAUCAAGUCUGCAGGACUCUAUUUUGGAGUUUGAUCUAGAAACGUUUGGCCUGGACACUAACUUAGGUUGGCCAUGAAUGAAUCAUAAAAGUUGUUAUGACAUAAAUGUUGUUAUGACACAUUUAUUCAAACAAGUACCCUUUUUGCCAAUGGAACUGAAAUAUAGUCCUUAGAGUCAACUUUAUGUAAUGUUAACUAUAAACUGGCUUAAAGGUUCUUUAAGGGAACUAACAUAAACAUUUUAUUUUAAUAAAUAGUUUUUGCACACAGAGGUCCUAAAUAGCAGGUCUAUGUGCCUUAAUAUGCAUUUUUGGUUAAAUGACAUAAAUGUUGUUAUGACACAUUUAUUCAAACAAGUACCCUUUUUUGCCAAUGGAACUGAAAUAUAGUCCUUAGAGUCAACUUUAUGUAAUGUUAACUAUAAAUUGGCUUAAAGGUUCUUUAAGGGAACUAACAUAAACAUUUUAUUUUAAUAAAUAGUUUUUGCACACAGAGGUCCUAAAUAGCAGGUCUAUGUGCCUUAAUAUGCAUUUUUGGUUAUGUUUUAUUAUAAAUAUAAUAAAUAGAUUGUUUAUGUACAGAUACAUGAGGUGAAGUCAUGUAUGAGUUGUUUAGGAAAUGUAUGUUUUCACAUUUCAUAACAGAAUAACUGGUAUAAUAUGGAAAUGUACGAAAAUGUAAGAAAAUAUGGCUAGUUUAGGGCCAACUUGUUUAAUUCAUCAAAAUGUUGUCUUGAUGGUAAAAUUAAGACGGUAAACAUUUUUAAGAUUUUACUAUUUAACAUUUAGAUCAAAGCUAAUUAUGUAGAACUCAGACUUUCAGAUUUCAUAUCCAUUUGUUUGCAUGUUCUAGUCUUUUGUUAUAAUGUGACUGGGGUCAU
ensembl:lncRNA